CACGAAAGGCGUAAUGAUUUGGGCACUGUCUCAACAGCCCGCCCGGCGAAAUUGUAGUACCGGUGAAGAUGCCGGUUACCCGCGACAAGACGGAAAGACCCCAUGGAGCUUCACUGCAGGUUGACAUUGGGCUUGGAUGCAUGAUGUACAGGAUAGGUGGGAGGCUGUGAACCUGGAACGCCAGUUUCAGGGGAGCCAUUGUUGGGAUACCACCCUUGUGCUGCUGGGCUUCUAACCAGCGGCCUUUAUCAGGCCGGGGGACAAUGCCAGACGGGGAGUUUGACUGGGGCGGU
rnacentral:rRNA from 17 species